rnacentral:rRNA from 1 species
AACCUACGGGGGGCAGCAGUCGGGAAUAUUGCGCAAUGGAGGCAACUCUGACGCAGUGACGCCGCGUAUAGGAAGAAGUAAUUCGUUAUGUAAAGCUCUAUCAGCAGGGAAGAAAGUGACGGUACCUGAAAAAGAAGCUCCGGCUAAAUACGUGCCAGCAGCCGCGGUAAUACGUAUGGAGCAAGCGUUAUCCGGAUUUACUGGGUGUAAAGGGAGAGUAGGUGGCAGAGCAAGUCCGAAGUGAAAACCCAAAGCUCAACUAUGGGAAUGCUUUAGAAACUGCUCAGCUAGAGUGCAGGAGAGGG